rnacentral:rRNA from 1 species
GACGAACGCUGGCGGCGUGCUUAACACAUGCAAGUCGAACGGAAAGGCCUCUUUCGGGGGGUACUCGAGUGGCGAACGGGUGAGUAACACGUGAGUAACCUGCCCUUUACUUUGUGAUAACUUCAGGAAACUGUGGCUAAUACCGGAUAUGAGCUCCUGCUGCAUGGUGGGGGGUGGAAAGUUUCUGCGGUUUGGGAUGGACUCGCGGCUUAUCAGCUUGUUGGUGGGGUAGUGGCUUACCAAGGCUUUGACGGGUAGCCGGACUGAGAGGGUGAACGGCCACAUUGGGAAUGAGAUACGGCCCAGACUCCUACGGGAGGCAGCAGUGGGGAAUAUUGCACAAUGGGUGGAAGCCUGAUGCAGCCAAGGCGUGUGCGGGAUGACGGCCCUCGGGUUGUAAACCGCUUUCGCUCAUGACGAAGCUUUGUGUGACGGUAGUGGGUAAAGAAGCACCGGCUAACUACGUG